rnacentral:lncRNA from 1 species
GGGGUUAUAGGGUCUAUAGGGGGGGUUAUAGGGGUUAUAGGGGGGGCUAUAGGGGUUAUAGGGGGUUAUGGGGGGUUAUAGAGGGUUAUAGGGGGGGUUAUAGGGGUUAUAGGGCUUAUAGGGGGGGUUAUAGGAGGGUUAUAGGGUUUAUAGGGUGUUAUAGGGAGGUUAUAGGGUUUAUAAGGGGUUAUAGGGAGGUUAUAGGUGUUAUAGGGGUUAUGGGGGGGUUUAUAAGUGGGGAGGGCGCCCCCUGUUGGCCGGGAGGAUGAAUUGCAUGAAGAGGCCCCACGUUGCACGACAGGACCCUGCACUGGGGGCUGUGCAUGGACGCUUUGCACGUGGGCUUUGCACGAGGACGACGCGUUGCACCACGGCCCGGCCUUGCACGAGGGACGUGGUGAUAGAGCUGCAUCGGGGCCUUGCACGAGGACAUUGCACGAGGGGGAGCUGCAUGGCACUGCAGGACAGUGGGGGGCUGCAUUGAAGCACCACGCUUUGCACGAGGAUCGUUUGCACGAGGACCUUUUGCACGAGGACCUUUUACACGAGGGCUUUGCACAAGCACAUUGCAUUGCACGAGGGGGGUUGCAUGCCAUCCUAUAGCCCAGCAUUGGGGGUAUACAUUGAGACUCUUUGCACGAGGAUCAUUUGCACAGGGACCUUUUGCACGAGGACUUUGCACAAGGACCUUUUGCACGAGGACCUUUUGCACGAGGACCUUUUGCACGAGGGCUUUGCACAAGCACAUUGCAUUGCACGGGGGGGGGGCUGUAAACCAUCCUAUAGCCCAGCAUUGGGGGGGGUUGCAUUGAGGCUCUUUGAACGAGGAUCAUUUGCACAAGCAUCAUUUGCACGAGGACCUUUUGCACGAGGACUUUGCACAAGGACUUUUUGCACUGGGGGGGGGGGGUGUACGCCAUCCUAUAGCCCAGCAUUGGGGGGCUGCAUUGAGGCUCUUUGCACGAGGAUCAUUUGCACAGGGACCUUUUGCACGAGGACCUUUUGCACGAGGACUUUGCACAAGCGCAUUGCAUUGCACGAGGGGGGGGGGAGCUGCACGCCAUCCUAUAGCCCAGCAUUGGGGGGGGGCGCAUUGGCUACUUUUGCACAAUACCUUUUCACAAGACCUUUUACACAAGGGCUUUGCCACAAUUCACAUUUGAGUUGCACGAGAAGGGCUGCAUGCCAUCCUAUAGCCAGCAUAUGGGGCUUUAACAUUGAGGCUCUUUGCACGAGGACCUUUUGCACAAGGACCUUUUGCACGAGGACUUUGCACAAGCACAUUGCAUUGCACGAGGGGGGGCACACCAUCCUAUAGCCCAGCAUUGGGGGUAUACAUUGAGGCUCUUUGCAUGAGGAUCAUUUGCACAGGGACCUUUUGCACAAGGACUUUGCACAAGGACCUUUUGCACGAGGACCUUUUGCACAAGGACUUUGCACAAGUGCAUUGCCACAUUGCUUUGCACGAGGGGGGGCUGCAUGCCAUCCUAUAGCCCAGCAUUGGGGGGGGGGCUGCAUUGAGGCUCUUUGCACGAGGAUCAUUUGCACAAGCAUCAUUUGCACGAGGACCUUUUGCACUAGGACUUUGCACAAGCACAUUGCAUUGCACGAGGGGGGGCUGCAUGCCAUCCUAUAGCCCAGCAUUGGGGGGGGGGCUGCAUUGAGGCUCUUUGCACAAGGACCUUUUGCACAAGGAUCUUUUGCACAAGGACCUUUUGCACAAGGGCUUUGCACAAGCACAUUGCAUUGCACGGGGGGGGCUGCUGCAUGUCAUCCUAUAGCCCAGGCAUUGCACGGGGGGGGGGGUACACCAUCCUAUAGCCCAGCAUUGAGGGGGGGCUGCAUUGAGGCUCUUUGCACGAGGAUCAUUUGCACAAGCAUCAUUUGCACAAGCAUUAUUUGCACGAGGACCUUUUGCACUAGGACUUUGCACUAGGACUUUUUGCACGGGG